rnacentral:rRNA from 1 species
UACGUAGGUGGCAAGCGUUGUCCGGAUUUAUUGGGCGUAAAGAGCGUGUAGGCGGCCAUACAGGUCAGCUGUGAAAACUCGAGGCUCAACCUCGAGACGUCGGUUGAAACCGUAUGGCUAGAGUCCGGAAGAGGAGAGUGGAAUUCCCGGUGUAGCGGUGAAAUGCGCAGAUAUCGGGAAGAACACCCGUGGCGAAGGCGGCUCUCUGGGACGGUACUGACGCUGAGACGCGAAAGCGUGGGGAGCGAACAGG